rnacentral:rRNA from 1 species
GACGAACGCUGGCGGCGUGCUUAACACAUGCAAGUCGAACGGUAAGGCCCUUCGGGGUACACGAGUGGCGAACGGGUGAGUAACACGUGGGUGAUCUGCCCUGCACUUCGGGAUAAGCCUGGGAAACUGGGUCUAAUACCGGAUAGGACCAUGGACUUCACGGUUUGUGGUGGAAAGCUUUUGCGGUGUGGGAUGGGCCCGCGGCCUAUCAGCUUGUUGGUGGGGUAAUGGCCUACCAAGGCGACGACGGGUAGCCGGCCUGAGAGGGUGUCCGGCCACACUGGGACUGAGAUACGGCCCAGACUCCUACGGGAGGCAGCAGUGGGGAAUAUUGCACAAUGGGCGCAAGCCUGAUGCAGCGACGCCGCGUGAGGGAUGACGGCCUUC